UACGAAGGGGGCUAGCGUUGCUCGGAAUCACUGGGCGUAAAGCGCACGUAGGCGGAUCUUUAAGUCAGGGGUGAAAUCCCAAGGCUCAACCUUGGAACUGCCUUUGAUACUGGGGAUCUCGAGUCCGGAAGAGGUGAGUGGAACUGCGAGUGUAGAGGUGAAAUUCGUAGAUAUUCGCAAGAACAUCAGUGGCGAAGGCGGCUCACUGGUCCGGUACUGACGCUGAGGUGCGAAAGCGUGGGGAGCAAACAGG
rnacentral:rRNA from 1 species